GAUGAACGCUAGCGGAAGGCAUAAUACAUGCAAGUCGAACGGAUGUAGCAAUACAUUAGUGGCGCACGGGUGCGUAACGCGUAUGCAACCUACCUUCAUCAGGGAUAACUACCCGAAAGGGUGGCUAACACCGCAUAAUACUAUUGAGUGGCAUCACUUGAUAUUUAAAUCUGAGGAGGAUGAAGAUGGGCAUGCGUCUGAUUAGCUAGUUGGUGUGGUAACGGCGCACCAAGGCGACGAUCAGUAGGGGAACUGAGAGGUUGGUCCCCCACACUGGCAAGGAGAUACGGGCCAGACUCCUACGGGAGGCAGAAGUAGGGAAUAUUGGUCAAUGGUGGGAACACUGAACCAGCCAUUCCGCGUGCAGGAAGAAGGGUCUCUGACUUGUAAACUGCUUUAGCAAGGGAAGAAAAAGCUCAUGCGUGAGAAAUUGACGGUACCUUGAGAAUAAGCACCGGCUAACUACGUGCCAGCCGCCGCCGUAAUAC
rnacentral:rRNA from 1 species